rnacentral:ncRNA from 1 species
AAACUGAAGAGUUUGAUCCUGGCUCAGAUUGAACGCUGGCGGUAUGCUUAACACAUGCAAGUCGAACGGAAACGAUACUAGCUUGCUAGUAGGCGUCGAGUGGCGGACGGGUGAGUAACGCGUAGGAAUCUGCCUGAUAGUGGGGGAUAGCCCGAAGAAAUUCGGAUUAAUACCGCAUAAUCUAUUCGUAGUAAAGUGGGGGACUUUCGAGCCUCACGCUAUCAGAUGAGCCUGCGUAAGAUUAGCUUGU